CCUACCCAUUUGAUGAGGUAUUCACAGCAGUGGUGGUUGGUUCUAUUGUCAAGGAUUGCUUUGAUUUCUCACUUGAGUUUGUUGUCUUCUUCUACAAUGGUGGGUGGCUGUCAAUUGGAGGUUCUCUGUGAGGGGAAUGGAUCCUCGGCCGCGGGUCGGAGCAGGUUUGUAUGAAAGAUGUUGUGGAUGCCAGGCGGGGUGUUGAGUUGAUAAUUGUGUGUGCCUAGCACUUCCUUCACUGUAUACUUGGUGUGAUGGUAAUCUAGUGUACGCGAGGGGUGGUCUGUUCUUAUGUUUUUGAGGUCCAGCCAGACUUUGUCUUCUACAUGGUAUUGGGUUGCAGGACUCCUUCUGGUGUUCACUUGAUCCUCAUAAUCUUGCUGAGUGCUGGCCAUUGAAGCUUCUGCCCAUUCACAGGCUUUCUUCAGCUUGCUCAUGAUGUUCUCUGCUGUCUGUAUGGGGCUGCGGGUGUACGUGGUUUCUCAGGGAGUCUCAGGGAAGUCCAGGACCUCUAAGUUGUAUCCAUGUAGAAGGAAGAAUGGGCUUAUGUCUGUCAUAGCAGAAUCUUGACUGUUAAUUGCAAUCUCAGUGUGUGGC
rnacentral:sRNA from 1 species